rnacentral:hammerhead_ribozyme from 1 species
AUCCGACUGACGAGUCCAGGAUAGGACGGAACGCGCGUCCUGGAU